CUUUUCAUCUAUCACGGCGCACAUUGAGUCGUGGAUUGGGCGAGUGCCUGCCGGCGUGUAUACCCGCAUAUCAACGCGGGUUGCUGGUCAAAGGCUCCGUCCUAAUAGUCCGGCCACAGCCUAGUCCGGUCUAGAUGACUUGAUUGAGAUGCUGCGGUGGGUUGUGCUCGAGUCGUGGCUUAAUGACAUUAUACACGCUCGGGAAGAAUCGCACCUAUCGUAUACUACGUUGGUCACUUGAUCUUGUCUCUAUGGUUCGGUCUGUGGUUUGUACCGAUGGUGUGUGUAUUACGCACAAAUUGUAUAAUUGA
rnacentral:misc_RNA from 1 species